rnacentral:rRNA from 1 species
GAUCCAGCCAUGCCGCGUGAGUGAUGAAGGCCCUAGGGUUGUAAAGCUCUUUUGUGCGGGAAGAUAAUGACGGUACCGCAAGAAUAAGCCCCGGCUAACUUCGUGCCAGCAGCCGCGGUAAUACGGAAGGGGGCUAGCGUUGCUCGGAAUCACUGGGCGUAAAGGGUGCGUAGGCGGGUCUUUAAGUCAGGGGUGAAAUCCUGGAGCUCAACUCCAGAACUGCCUUUGAUACUGAAGAUCUUGAGUUCGGGAGAGGUGAGUGGAACUGCGAGUGUAGAGGUGAAAUUCGUAGAUAUUCGCAAGAACACCAGUGGCGAAGGCGGCUCACUGGCCCGAUACUGACGCUGAGGCACGAAAGCGUGGGGAGCAAACAGGAUUAGAUACCCUGGUAGUCCACGCCGCAAACGAUGAAUGCCAGCCGUUAGUGGGUUUACUCACUAGUGGCGCAGCUAACGCUUUAAGCAUUCCGCCGUGGGGAGUACGGUCGCAAGAAUUA